rnacentral:rRNA from 1 species
AGGGGUUUGAUCAUGGGCUCAGAAUGAACGUUGGCGGCGUGGAUUAGGCAUGCAAGUCGAGCGAGAAUCUGUGAGUGGCGACUUCGGUCAAAGCGAUCAGAGGACAGCGGCGAACGGGGUAGUAAGGCAUAGGUUACGUACCUCCAAGACCGGGAUAGCCAUGGGAAACUGUGAGUAAUACCGGAUAAUCUCUUCGGAGCAAAUGGUGUGAUUCCGCUUGGAGAGCGGCUUAUGUGAUACUAGGUUGUUGGUGGGGUAAUGGCCUACCAAGCCUAAGAUGUCUAGGGGGUGUGAGAGCAUGGCCCCCACCACUGGGACUGAGACACUGCCCAGACACCUACGGGUGGCUGCAGUCGAGAAUCUUCCACAAUGGGCGAAAGCCUGAUGGAGCGACGCCGCGUGCGGGAUGAAGGCCCUUGGGUUGUAAACCGCUGUCAGAGGGGAUGAAAUCCUUGGGGGCUAUCCCCCUUGGUUGACAGAGCCUCAGAGGAAGCACGGGCUAAGUUCGUGCCAGCAGCCGCGGUAAUACGAACUGUGCAAACGUUUAUUC